AAAUCCCUGGCGGGUGUGCGUCUGGCGGGUGGUGUAUCUGUGACUCGUAGGACCUCAGCCCUGGUCUUCCCAGCUCCAGGCCACCCUGGGCCUCGCUCAGCUGAGCACGCAGCCUGGUGGGGCUCUGAAUCCCACCUCGGCCCAUGCCAUGCUAGCCUGAGUUCCCUCUGUGCACCUGCGGGCGUCACCUCCCCAACCCUUCGGCUUUGCCAACACCUGGUCCGCCUGGGAGUCCAGAGCUGGGUUGCAAAUCUCUACCCCGCUCCAAGCUUCCUCUCAUUGCUUCCUGCCAGGCGGAGAUUGUGAAGCGUCUGAGCGGUAUCUGCGCUCAGAUUAUCCCCUUCCUGACCCAGGAGCAUCAGCAGCAGGUGCUCCAGGCCGUAGAACGCGCCAAGCAGGUCACCGUGGGGGAGCUGAACAGCCUCAUC
rnacentral:lncRNA from 1 species